rnacentral:rRNA from 1 species
AGUGAACGCUGGCGGUAGGCCUAACACAUGCAAGUCGAACGGCAGCACAGUAAGAGCUUGCUCUUACGGGUGGCGAGUGGCGGACGGGUGAGGCAUACAUCGGAAUCUACUUUUUCGUGGGGGAUAACGUAGGGAAACUUACGCUAAUACCGCAUACGACCUACGGGUGAAAGCAGGGGAUCUUCGGACCUUGCGCGAUUGAAUGAGCCGAUGUCGGAUUAGCUAGUUGGCGGGGUAAAGGCCCACCAAGGCGACGCUCCGUAGCUGGUCUGAGAGGAUGAUCAGCAACACUGGAACUGAGACACGGUCCAGACUCCUACGGGAGGCAGCAGUGGGGAAUAUUGGACAAUGGGCGCAAGCCUGAUCCAGCCAUACCGCGUGGGUGAAGAAGGCCUUCGGGUUGUAAAGCCCUUUUGUUGGGAAAGAAAAGCAGCAGGUUAAUAACCCGCUGUUCUGACGGUACCCAAAGAAUAAGCACCGGCUAACUUCGUG